AUUGAACGCUGGCGGCAUGCCUUACACAUGCAAGUCGAACGGCAGCACGGGUGCCUGCACCUGGUGCGACGUGGCGGAACGGGUGAGUAAUACAUCGGAAUGUACCUUGUAGUGGGGGAUAGCUCGGCGAAAGCCGGAUUAAUACCGCAUACGCUCUGAGGAGGAAAGCGGGGGACCUUCGGGCCCCGUGCUACAAGAGCAGCCGAUGUCAGAUUAGCUUGUUGGUGAGGUAAAAGCUCACCAAGGCGACGAUCUGUAGCUGGUCUGAGAGGACGACCAGCCACACUGGGACUGAGACACGGCCCAGACUCCUACGGGAGGCAGCAGUGGGGAAUUUUGGACAAUGGGCGAAAGCCUGAUCCAGCAAUGCCG
rnacentral:rRNA from 1 species